AGUUCACGAUUCUGGCUCAGAUUGAACGCUGGCGGGAUGCUUUACACAUGCAAGUCGAACGGCAGCACGGACUUCAGUCUGGUGGCGAGUGGCAGGAACGGGUGAGUAAGCCUGUAUCGGAACGUGCCCACCAACGUAGCGGGGGAUAACUACGCGAAAGGCGUAAGCCCUAAUACCCGCAUACGCCCUUCGGGGAAAGCAGGGGACCUUCGGGCCUCGCACUAUUAGAGCGGCCGAUAUCGGAUUAGCUAGUUGGUGGGGUAACGGCUCACCAAGGCGACGAUCCGUAGCUGGUUUGAGAGGACGACCAGCCACACUGGGACUGAGACACGGCCCAGACUCUACGGGAGGGCGGCAGUGGGGAAUUUUGGACAAUGGGGAAACCCUGAUCCAGCCAUCCCGCGUGUGCGAUGAAGGCCAUCGGGUUGUAAAGCACUUUUGGCAGGAAAGAAACGGCACGGGAUAAUACCCCGUGCAACUGACAGUACCUGCAAGAAUGGCAGCACCGGCUAACUGCGUGCCGGCAGCCGCGGUAAUACGUAGGGUGCAAGCGUUAAUCGGAAUUACUGGGCGUAAAGCGUGCGCAGGCGGCUCGGAAAGAAAGAUGUGAAAUCCCAGAGCUUAACUUUGGAACUGCAUUUUUUAACUACCGAGCUAGAGUGUGUCAGGGAGUGAUUCCGUGUAGCAGUGAAAUGCGUAGAUAUGCGGAGGAACACCGAUGGCGAAAGGCAGCCUCCUGGGAUAACACUGACGCUCAUGCACGAAAGCGUGGGGAGCAAACAGGAUUAGAUACCCUGGUAGUCCAUACAAACGUGUCAGCUAGCUGUUGGGGCCUUCGGGCCUUGGUAUUGGCGCAACUAACGCGUGAAGUUGACCGCCUGGGGGAAUACGGUCGCAAUUAAAACUCGAAAGCGAUUGACGGGGACCCGCACAAGCGGUGGAUGAUGUGGAUUAAUUCGAUGCAACGCGAAAAACCUUACCUACCCUUGACAUGUCUGGAAUCCCGAAGAGAUUUGAGGUGCUCGCAGAGAACCGGAACACAGGUGCUGCAUGGCUGUCGUCAGCUCGUGUCGUGAGAUGUUGGGUUAAGUCCCGCAACGAGCGCAACCCUUGUCAUUAGUUGCUACGAAAGGGCACUCUAAUGAGACUGCCGGUGACAAACCGGAGGAAGGUGGGGAUGACGUCAAGUCAUCGCAGGCCCUUCUUGGGCCCAGGGCUUCACACGUCAUACAAUGGUCGGGACAGAGGGUCGCCAACCCGCAGAGGAAUGUUAGAAGCGAUCGUAGUCCGGAUCAUGAUCUGCAACUCGGCCGUGAUCGGAAUCGCUAGUAAUCGCGGAUCAGCAUGUCGCGGUGAAUACGUUCCCGGGUCUUGUACACACCGCCCGUCACACCAUGGGAGUGCGUUUGCAGAAGUAGUUAGCCUAACCGUAAGGGAGGGCGAUUACCACGGUAGGAUUCAUGACUGGGGUGAAGUCGUAACAAGGUAG
rnacentral:rRNA from 1 species